CGGCGUGCCUAAUACAUGCAAGUCGAACGGUCUUUCUAUGGAAGCUUGCUUCCACUGAGAAGAUAGUGGCGAACGGGUGAGUAACACGUGGGUAACCUGCCCAUAAGAGGGGGAUAACAUCCGGAAACGGGUGCUAAUACCGCAUAGUUUUCUUGAUCGCAUGAUUGGGAAAGGAAAGACGGCCUUUGUGCUGUCGCUUAUGGAUGGACCCGCGGCGUAUUAGUUAGUUGGUGAGGUAACGGCUCACCAAGACGAUGAUACGUAGCCGACCUGAGAGGGUGAUCGGCCACAUUGGGACUGAGACACGGCCCAAACUCCUACGGGAGGCAGCAGUAGGGAAUCUUCCGCAAUGGACGAAAGUCUGACGGAGCAACGCCGCGUGAGUGAAAGAAGGUUUUCGGAUCGUAAAACUCUGUUGUCAGAGAAGAACAAGUUGGAGAGUAACUGCUCCAGCCUUGACGGUAUCUGACCAGAAAGCCACGGCUAACUACGUGCCAGCCGCCGC
rnacentral:rRNA from 1 species